rnacentral:rRNA from 1 species
GGCUUGCCGGGGGAGUAAAGUGGCGAACGGGUGAGUAACGCGUGGGUAACCUGCCCUUGAAUCUGGAAUAACCCGCCGAAAGGCGGACUAAUACCGGAUAUCGUCCUGGAGUCGCAUGGCACUGGGACGAAAGAUGACCUCUUCACGAAAGUUGUCGUUCAGGGAGGGGCUCGCGUACCAUUAGCUAGUUGGUAGGGUAAUGGCCUACCAAGGCGACGAUGGUUAGCUGGUCUGAGAGGAUGAUCAGCCACACUGGAACUGAAACACGGUCCAGACUCCUACGGGAGGCAGCAGUGAGGAAUUUUGCGCAAUAGGGGAAACCCUGACGCAGCAACGCCGCGUGAGUGAAGAAGGCCUUCGGGUCGUAAAGCUCUGUCAAGCGGGACAAAGUUCUGCGAGUGAAUAGCUCGCAGGAGUGAUGGUACUGCUAGAGGAAGCACCGGCUAACUCCGUGCCAGCAGCCGCGGUAAUACGGAGGGUGCAAGCGUUGUUCGGAAUUACUGGGCGUAAAGCGCGUGCAGGCGGUUCGGUAAGUCAGAUGUGAAAGCCCUGGGCUCAACCCAGGAAGUGCAUUUGAAACUGCCGUGCUAGAGUAUGGGAGAGGAGAGUGGAAUUCC